rnacentral:rRNA from 1 species
AGAGUUUGAUCCUGGCUCAGAACGAACGCUGGCGGCGUGGAUUAGGCAUGCAAGUCGAACGAGAAAUCUUUGUUUUGAUCCUUCGGGUGAAAAAUGGAGAUAGAAAGUGGCGAAAGGGUGAGUAAUGCAUGGGUAACUUACCUUUAAGUUGGGGAUAGCCCUGCGAAAGCGGGGGUAAUACCGAAUGUGGUCGUCCCGAUGCGUCGGGACUGUCUAAAGGUGGGGAUCCUUCGGGACCUACCGCUUAGGGAUGGGCUCAUGUCCUAUCAGCUUGUUGGUGAGGUAAAAGCUCACAAAGGCUAAGACGGGUAGCUGGUCUGAGAGGAUGGUCAGCCACACUGGGACUGAGACACUGCCCAGACUCCUACGGGAGGCUGCAGUCGAGAAUCAUUCGCAAUGCGCGAAAGCGUGACGAUGCGACGCCGCGUGGAGGAUGAAGGCCUUCGGGUUGUAAACUCCUGUCAUGGGGGAACAAUGGCCCCGAUAGUAAUACAAUCGGGGAAGUGAUAGUACCCCAAGAGGAAGCCACGGCUAACUCUGUGCCAGCAGCCGCGGUAAUACAGAGGUGGCAAGCGUUGUUCGGAUUUACUGGGCGUAAAGGGUGCGCAGGCGGUUUUAUAUGUCGGAUGUGAAAGCUCACUGUUCAUCGGUGGAACUGCAUUCGAAACUGUAAGACUAGAGUACAGGAGAGGAGAGCGGAAUUCUUGGUGUAGCGGUGAAAUGCGUAGAUAUCAAGAGGAACACCGGCGGCGAAGGCGGCUCUCUGGACUGAUACUGACGCUCAGGCACGAAAGCUGGGGGAGCAAACAGGAUUAGAUACCCUGGUAGUCCCAGCUGUAAACGGUGUGCACUUGGUGUGGGUGGUGGUUAUCCCCAUCCGUGCCGGAGCUAACGCGUUAAGUGCACCGCCUGGGGAGUACGGUCGCAAGGCUAAAACUCAAAGGAAUUGACGGGGGCCCGCACAAGCGGGGAGCAUGUGGCUUAAUUCGAUGCAACGCGAAGAACCUUACCAGGGCUUGAAAUGCCCGUCGUAUCCCGGUGAAAGUCGGGAGUCAGCUAGGCUGGACGGUGCACAGGUGCUGCAUGGCUGUCGUCAGCUCGUGCCGUGAGGUGUUUGGUUAAGUCCAGCAACGAGCGCAACCCUUGUGAUUAGUUGCCACUCCCGCAGAGAUGCAGGAAGCACUCUAGUCAGACUGCCCCGGUUAACGGGGAGGAAGGUGGGGAUGACGUCAAGUCAGUAUGGUCCUUAUGCCCUGGGCUGCACACGUGCUACAAUGGCUGGUACAGAAGGACGCUAGACCGCAAGGUGGAGCAAAUCCCUAAAACCAGCCCCAGUUCGGAUUGAAGUCUGCAACUCGACUUCAUGAAGUUGGAAUCGCUAGUAAAGGCGUAUCAGCUACGACGCCUUGAAUACGUUCCCGGGCCUUGUACACACCGCCCGUCACAUCACGGAAGUUGACUGUACCCGAAGUCGCUGAUCUAAUCCCGCUUGCGGGAAAGAAGGUGCCGAAGGUGUGGUUGGUAACUGUGAUGAAGUCGGAACAAGGUA